rnacentral:lncRNA from 1 species
GCACUUCUCCUUUAUGGUAAUUUUGUUUUGUUACCAGGGUAGUUUUGUGAAUAAAGUUAAAAUAGUGGUGGUGGGUUUUUUGCAGGCGUGGUUAUCAUAGCGCCUGUUGUAGUAACACUCAUGGCAUGAUGCAACUCAACUUUAUUAUUAUUAUUUUAUCUAGGCUUUCUUGUAGCUAGUUACACUCUGUCUGUUUCCAUUGGCAUUGUAGUUGUACACUCUGCUUGGAAACUUGGGUGCAUUUCCCAGUAGAAAAUUUUAUAUUUUUCCUUGUGUGAUUUUGUAGAAAUUAAAUGAAAUGAAAUUGUUUCUCUCUCGAUUUUUAAGGGCAUGGAGUUAUGUUCCCGAUGAAUAAUGAUAAUAAUGCAUUGGAGGGUAAAGCCACAAACAAGCUGUCACCUGCUCCAUCUGCUAUCUGCAUGCACAGUCUUUAGUUUUUCGUCCAUUUCGAUAAGGACAAGAACAUUGUUCUGCCGCAACGCAAACUCCCUUAGGCAAAGAAGCUUCAGUUUUCCCCCUGAUUCUGUUAAGUAGUUUUCUAUGGUUGAGAUAAUAGGAAAAUUAUUCGGUUUUGUUGGGAACUUGGGAGCAUGUAGGUGAUGAAGAAAUACUACUUAGUUGGGUUGAAAGAUAAAAUGAAUAAAAUAAAAGGAAGAAAAUGAAGAUAAGAUAAAUUUAAAUAAGUAAAUUUGUCUUGCUAUGUUAUGAAAAAUUAAAAGAAAUGAAAACAAAUGUUCUUGUUCGGCUAUAUCAAGAUAAUAGAAUAAACGUAAAAACUGUAACAAAUAUAUGCAAAGUGAAUGCAACAAUAAAAAAUCUAAUGUACCUGAAUCCAAAGUUAACGAGGCAACAAAAGUUUCUUCGGUUGGUAUAUAUUGAAUUUAUAUUUUAGAAGGACACGAGUUUAAAUAAGAAAUCUUUGGCAUGUUGUAAUAUGAAAGUAUCUUUUAAGCAUUUUUUUUAGCCUCAAGAUCUAUGUUGGCCUUAGCGAGUGAGUAUCUUUUAAACAUAUGCAAGCACCUUUUAAAUGUCCAGUGGGCAUUUUGACUAAAAUGGGGUAUUUUUUUUUAAAAAAAAUUAUCAGAUGGGAAUAAUUUUUAAAGUCGUAUAAUUUUACAUGAUUUUUGUUUUUUAUUUUUUAUGAAGUCGUAAGUUGAGACACUAUUAUUUUAUGUUUUAUUAUUUUUUUAUUGUUUCAAAAAGAAGUCGUGGUCUUCUACACGACUUCAAAAUCUUGGAAGGUUUUACAACUUAUGCUGAUUUUUUUUUUGUUUUAACGUUAGUUUUAAGAAAUCGUUUAGUAUUUUAUGCACUUAUGAAUUAAGAAAAAUAGUAAUUUUGUAUGAAGAUGAUAGUAUUAUUAUUUAAUUUGAUUUGAUAAAGUUAUUUUAAUAUUAACGACAUUAAAUAAUUUAUUAAUUAUUUAAUUUUAUUUUCUUUAUAAAUCUUUGCAAAAAUUUAAGUAUUUUGUUUUCAUCAUUUCCUAAAAAAAUUUACAAAAAUUCAUAAUAUCAUAAACAAAAAAUAUAAAUUCACUAUUUUUUAAAAUAAAUUAAAAACCUGCAUCACGGGAGAAAUAUUAUAACAAAAACUCUUUUGAAAUAUAUUAAUACGGAAGAAGAAAAUUUUUUAAAGUCGAAUAAAAGGCUAUGACUUCAAAUUUUGAAUUAUAAAACACGAAAUAAUUGUGUCUCUAUUAAGGACUUCAUAAAAAUAAAAAUAAAAACAAAAGUGGCAUAAAAUUAUAUGACUUUUGACUUUGAAAUCAUAAACAUCAAUAUGACUUAUUCUCUUUUGGAAAUCAAUUUAAAAAUUACUCUCAUUUGUUAAAUUAAAAAAAAAAAAAAAAAGGAAUUACUCCCUUUUAGUCAAAAGAUUCGUCGAGUGAUCAAACUAGUUUAAAGAUACUGCACACACAGGGAAAGCAAGGUAAAUCCAAAAACUCAGAGAAAGUAUUGGACAUUCCAACAGCCAAUGAUGUCAUUACCUUCGGAGGCAUUAGGCAAUGGAGAUAAGUCCUUUUUGCGUCUUCCUUUUGUUUAGUCAAAAUUGAGUAAACAGACGAAUCUAGUAGUACUUAAACGUUUUACAAAUACAUCAUUUUUUAUACAUAUGUUUUAAGAGCUUUAAAUGCAUGCUUUUUAUAAUUAGUGUAUAAUUGUACAUUCACUGUAAAAAAAAAUUAUACUAAUCCUUUGUUUUGUUUAAUAAGAAUAAAGAGAAAUAAGUAAUAUAAAAAUGUCAAAUUUUUAUGAUAUGUUAAAGAGAAUAUGAAAGUUGAUUUGCAUGCCGAAAAAAUAAAUAAAAAUAAAAUUUGACCAACAGCAAGUGGGUGUAAAUAAUGUGUUUACAGAAAGGAGUUGUAAUGUAAGCGAUAAACAGAGUUUGGGCGUGAGAUCUUACAAUGUACACCGAUCGAACAUGCCUUUGUUCUUGUUGUCUGAGCAAUUACAUUUACAUAGACAUAAACAAUGGACACGUCAAACGUGAGGUGAGGAAAGCCAUCAAUAAUUAAGUACAACAAAAGAAUCCUCUUCUUGUUUCUCCAGCUCUGUUAUGCAGCUUCAUUCCACUUUGACGUGAAGGAUUUGCUUUCGCCAAUCUCUUGGCUGCAAAAUGUUUUUUUAAUUUCUAUUUAACCAAUCUUAACAAUUACUGUCACAAUUGGCCAAAAUACUUUAUAGGGUUUAUGGGAAAUUAUUUUACCUAUUUCAUAGAAGAGCUCGUUCACGUUUUGUGCGGUUUUUGCUGAAGUUUCAAGAAAAGACAAGCCAUUUUCUUUGGCAUAUUCCUCGCCCUCCUGCAACCAUCAAUUCAAUUACAAAGUUCGUCACAUAAAAGAUGAGUACUGAAACAAAUCAUGAGAACAAUUCACUAGAAAUACCUCAUAUCUGACUUUUCUCUCGGCUUCCAAAUCAGCCUUGUUAGCCACCAAAAACAUUGUCAAACUUGAAUUUGAUGAAGUGAAUUCUCAAAUUAGUACCGUUUUAUGAAGUUGUGAUGAACUUUUUCAGAAUGAUUCAUAGAAGUCAACUUAGCCCAAGUUCACAACUUUUUAAGUAUGCAGAAAAGAAAUCUGGUUCUCAAUUUUUAGAUGUAGUAACUUAUGAUGUGCGGGGGACAAGGGUAGGAGUAGGAUUAAGGCUAUCAAGAGGGAGAACAUUUUUUUUAUGUAAAUAAAUACUUUCGUCUGAAAACUUACUCUUACCAAUGAAUUUAUGAUCGUGAUAUAUGCCACAUGUUUACAAGAUUCUAGCGUCAGACAAUUUAUAUUAAGCUCAAUAAUACAGUAGCUUUUAAAGUUUGUUCAAAAGAUAUAUACAUUUUGGCAGUUACCUUGUCUUAGAACUUCUCGAACCCACUUCUUUGCUCGUACAAAAGAAUCCUGUGCCAGAGUAUGAAUUAUUUAUUCAGCCAGAUAUGUUCACUGUAAAUGUAAUAAUAGACAUCUAAAUAAAACAUAAUACUGAAUCUUUUAAAGGAUAAAUACAGUAGAAUAAUCGUGAAUUAGUGAUAUACUUCUAUUAAGUAUAUUGAGAAUAUUUCAACUACAUAAUUAAUUAAUUACCAUGCUUGUGAUGUCAUACACAACAAUGGCAGCAGCAGCACCUCGAUAGUACAUAGGAGCCAAACUGUGGUAUCGUUCCUGCCCUGCUGUGUCCCAUAUAUCAAAUUUUACUGUCGCUUCAUUUAAAGACAAAACCUGAGUGAAGAAUGCUGCUCCAAUUGUUGAAUCCUGGUACUCGGAAAAUUCACCUUUGACAAAUCUAAGAACCAAACUUGUUUUCCCUGCCCCCAUGUCCCCAAGAAGAACCUGGGAUAUCAUAGAUGAUCUGAUCAUGAUCUUUAUCAUGUUUAACAUCGUUGGAAUAUUUUCUUCUGCUAAUGAUGCAUAAUGUAUGUCCUUUUUUAUCAUAGGAAAACGAGGGAGGGAACAAAAAUUUGAAAUUUGAACCAAAGAAAAAAUUAGAAAUUUUCUUUCAUCUUUACUUUUUCUUCAUUUUCACUUCAACUACACAAUAAAACUUUUGAAAUUUGAAAAGUUUUCUUUCUUUCUCUCAACCAAAUUAUAUAGGGUAACUGGCCAGAAAAGUAAAGGAUGGGGAUUGACAUAAAUACAUAAUAUUUUACUUGGCAGAUUGAAGAAGCACUCACGUUAUUAUGCAAAAUUCAACUAGAACUAAUCAACGACUUCGCAAAAAUCUUACUUGGAGCAUGCAAGGAUAUUAUAUGUAGCUUGAAUAGCACUCUGCAAGUCAUUAAUAUAGUCGCUAACUGAAUGAAUAACUAAAAAUCUUGUUUUCUACAUGAAUGGUUAUGGUUUUAUAUGUAACUUGUUCCCCCAAAAGAGAGGGGUGGACAAUACACACAACCCAAAGGCUUACAGCUUACUUGGUCAAAAUACACGUAUGGUUUUAAUCAUAUACAAGAAUUGUACUUCUGUAAACGUAUAAACGAUUUUGAAUAAAAAAGUAUAAAUUUUCUUGAAGGAUGCAGAUAGUUGUUGCACUAGCUGAUUGAAACAAAAAAAGCAGAACAUUUUUCAAUGAUGAAUCAAGCAUUAAACGAUCAUAAUCAGACACAACAGUUUCUUAGAAUCCAACACUGGUUUAACGUAAGAAACAACUUGAAUUUAAAUUAGCAAUAUAUACAAGUUAUUUGCUUGUCCUGUCCUAGUAUAUGUGAUAUGAUAUGUUGUUCUGGCUUAGGGCCUAAUAAUAUGUCAAACAGGAGCUAUUUCUACUUUUUGAAUGGAGCUGAUCGUCAUCAUAUCAAAUCAAAAAAAGGUGGGGAAGACAUACCUACCAGUUUUGCUUGUAAACUCUUGUUUCCUGUCCUCGCCAUAGCUUAGAUGAUCUAUGGGGGGAAAAAGAGAGAAAAUUUCUUUAGUGCUCCUAAGAUUAAAAGGAUAAGCCAAGGAGAAGGCAAAUGUGUUAGUAAUGAGAAAAGGGAGAGCUUGAAGGCUGAAAAACAAUAGUCCACGACUGGUAGUUUGUUGGUUGGACUAGUAAGUAAGCUGAUAUGUAUAAAACUUUUUCUUUGAAAUUAUCCACGACUUAUAUUUUAAAUUUUGCUAAGGUCCAUGAGUUAGCUUUUAAAUUUAAUCAAAUUUAUAUCUAGUUAAGCUUUUAUGAUUAUAAAUUAGCAACACUGUAUUUAAUAUUUUUGUCCUUUUCAUUUUACGAAGACUUUUUUUUUUUAAAAUCUUACUUUUAGUCUUCAAAAUUUGAUCAUAUCAUCCAUUAGUUUUUGUAUUUUACAGAAAAUUUGUUUUAGUUUUUUUUUUUAAAUUAUUAAUAUGUCUCUUUCAAACAUAUUAAAUUGUAACUUUCAAAUGUUUCACUUUGUGUUUGUUUUGAUCGUAUUCUUCAACUUUUGUUGUUGUAGAUUUAUUCUUAUGUUUUCUUCUAAUUUUAUUUGUUUAUUUGCAUGACAUAUUUAUGUUUUAACAAAAAUUGAUAUUUUCCUUCUAACAUAAUUUUUUUUUAAUAAUGGUUUUUACAAUUAGAAUAGGUUUUUACAUGGGUGUUAUAUUGGGUUACAGGUAAAGAGACGAAAAAAUAGAGAAUAAUGGUUAUCAUUUCAAUAAAAAAUAAAAUAAAAAUUUCACAAAAUGUCAUAUAAAUUUUAAAGAUUUAUCUCUUUUUAUUUUAUUUUCAUUUAAAAAAAAGGAAAAUGUCCAUUUGAGUCUCAUUAUGAUUGAUUUCUAUAAAAGAUGUUCGGGAAGAAGAAUUAAAUUAUUAAAUUUUUUGAACUGAAAACAAUGAAAUAGUUUAAUAUAUUUGUACAACACUUAAAUAUUUCACUCUUAAUAUAUAUGUAAUAAUGUAAUAAAUGUAUAACUCUAUCAUUGUUUCACUCUCCCCGUCCUUCAUCACAUUCACUCUCACUUAAAUAUUCUCCUCAUCAUAUAUAUAUAUAUAUAUAUAUAUAUAUAUAUAUAUAUAUAUAUAUAUAUAUAUAUAUAUCAUCUUCCAAAUUCAAAUAUGCUUGUAACACGUAUAAGACAUAUUCUCUAGUACUUUUAAUAUCAACUACAUUAUUUAAAUUAACAUUUUAUCUUUUUUUUUUAAUAUAUUUAGUUCUACCUUUAAAAAAAUUAUAACUUGAGUUUCAAUAUUUUUAAAUACUUAGUUUUAAAAAAAUACUUAGCUUCCAGCACGUGUAUACGGAAGGUAGCAAAACUGCAGAUUGGCUCGUUAAAGGGGAAUCUCUUAUCAACAAGCUAGAUUUAACUAUCUUGCAGCAGUGCCAUAGUUCUCUUUUUGUUGUUUACUUUGUUCAUGUUAUUAUGGGACUCUCUUCCACGAGCUCCUAGUUUUUUUUUUCUUUCUUUCUUUGUCUUUAUUUUCUCAAUCAUAAAAAAAUAAAAAUAUUAACUCAUUAGCUUAUAACGCUAUUUUAAAUAAAUGAUAGUUUACAAACAUAAUUUAUAAAAAAAAUAUAUAUGUAGUUGUUCUAUCAAUUUGUUGUCAAUGGACUCCCAACGUUUGACAACAACGAAUAAUUUUUUUUGAAAAAAAUUAAUAUCAAAACAAAAAAUAAAUGUUUUGUGGAGGUUAAAAAGUUAUUUAAGCCUAAAUUUUACUAUAAACUUAUUUUCGAGUUAAAUAUUUUUAAAUAAAAUUAUCUUGUGAUAAAUUAAAAUUAGUUUUAAAUAGUCGAAAACCAAACUAUACCUACUGUGAUCCCUACAAAAUGAAAUCAAGCAAUAACAAAACAUGAAAUCAAGUUUGUUUGAUUGUUACUUUCACUACUUUCAUUUCAUAACCUACUUUGCCAUGAGAACAAGGGCCCUACUCUGGGACUUGACGUUGAUUGCGCUGCUUUAAAACAUCUAAAAUGCAUAAAAAAUAAAUAAAAAGUUAUCCACUCUGCAAUUUGUUCUUUAAAAAAUGUAUAACAAAAUUCAAAAGAUUCCCUCUCCUCCUUUCAUUAAAAAUAUUUAAUUAUUAUAAAAAGUUUUUUUUUUUUAAAUUUAGAGUGUGUUUUUACUAUAGACAUAUACAAUUUAAAUAUAAUUAAGUAAAAAUUAUUAUAUACAGUAUCACAUAUCGCAUCAUUUUUUUAUUAGAAAUCAAUUUUUAAUUUAGUUUUCUAUCAAUGUUGUGUUUGAUGGAGUAGAAAUGGUGAAAAAAUAGAAAAGAGGGAGAAAAAAUAGGUGAAAAAUAAAAAAAGUGAGACUGUUUCUAGUUGAGUGGAAAUUGGUGAACUGAACCGCAAGAAAAUUAAAAUCGGGACGCUUGUCUUAAAUUUUGUGACGAUUUUUUUUCUUCUAACAGUUCAAAACUAUAAAAAAAAAUGCAAUUACAGAUAUUUCAUGCUCUCAUGAUCAAUCAUGUGAAUAAAAAAUCACUAACGAAGGAUUUUUUAUAUCUCUUAAAUCAAACACAUUUGAAUUUUCUUUAUAUCUCAAUUAUUUUGAUUUAAUUUAUCUAUUUUUGUCUUCUCUAUAUUUAUCUAUUCUAUUUCUUCCCUGUCACCCAAUGUAAAAAAUGAGAGAUAGGAAUAUAGUUGUUUGGCUAAAUUAUUAAUUAAUUUUGUUUGUUUAUUUAAUUAUUUUAAUUUGAUCAUUUAUUAUUAAAAAUUAAUUUAAUCCCUUAAUUUCUAAAAUUGAUGCAACAUUGUCAAUUUUGUCCAACUGUCGGAAACAACAUUAAUUGCAUGUAUACGUGACACAAUAAAAAAAAAAAGUAACAUAAAUACCACAUAAGACACCUCUAUAUAUUAUAAAUUUAAAUAGCGUUAAUGGGAUGCAUAAAAAAAAUAGCGUUGAUGGGAAGGGCAUCAUUGUAUUAUUUUUAAGAUUAAAGGUCUAAAUUAAACUUUUAAUAAUAAGAGAACUAAAUUGAACAAAUAAAAUUAAAAGAAAAAGAUAUUUAGUCAUAUUUUUAUAGUGUCUCCCCUCUCAUAAAUGGUGAAUAUGUAAGUAUUUUCUUCCUUUCAAAAAAUAAAUGUAAGUUUUUUCUUAAUAAAUCAUGUCGAAGUUUAUGAUAGAUAUCUUAUAAAUUGUGGUAUUUAAGAGAUUUUCAUUAUGGGCUAAGGAAAUGAGGGGGAAAUAUUACAUAAAAAAUUGUUGUUUUUAUUUAAUAUUACAAAUGUGUGUGUUCAGCAAAUAGUUAUAUGGUCCCCUACAGUACUUGUAGAUCUUGAGUUUGGAAAAAGCAUCUGCGAGUCUGCGACGUGUGCAAUCUACCAUAGUAAAUCUUAAUUUUCCCACGUAUGCUUGCCCUUCAUGAUCUUUUUCAAGCUGUGAAUUGUCCCAUACAAAUUUAUCAUUAUUUCUCCAUUGAUGAAUUAUCCAUGCACGUGCAUGUUGAGUCAUUUUCGUUUAUUAUUUUUUUUAAACAUAAAAAUAUUUUUCUUAGAUAAGUCCAAUCAAACACGAAUUCGAUAUAUACGAGUUUUUGAAUAUAUCUCGAUUCGUUCACUAUAGUUAUUAUUAUUAUUAUUAGAAGCCGCAUUAAUUAAUACCAAAUAAGUUAAAUAUAAUGAAAAGAGAAAAAGGAAAAAAAUAUAGAAAAAUAAAUAUAUUUAUAAGUUGUUUACUCAUGUUUGAUUGGACUUGCGAUUGGGAAACCAUGUGGAGUAUAAUAUUUUUUUAACCCCUAAAAUACAACGAGAAGAAACAAAUAAGUCCCGCAUCACGUGAGAGAGGAAAAAAAAUUAUCAGGAGAGAGAAAAAAAAAUAGAUAAGCUCAAAAAGGAUUAUUUUCUUUAUCUUAAGCAGAAAAAGACUUUCACGUGGAUCCCAGGUUAAUUUUUUUGUCCUUCCCCUGUUUUGAUAGCAAAUAGCAAAAGAUGGUAUUCUAAAAUAUUUAAUAAUAUUUAUAUUUUUUUAACACUUUCCUUAUGCAAAAAUAUAAAAUUACUUAAUUUUUUUUAAAGAAUUAAUUAUAUUUAAUAAUAAUAUACCACACCAUAACUGUAAAAAACUUUUUGAUUAUGACUUUCUUUUUUCAUAGAUUAAAAAAAGUAUAGCGCAUUUGGUUAAUCUUUUUAUUUUAAGGAAUGGGGUUUUAUAAGUUGAAUAAAUAUUUUUUUAAUCUCGAAGGAGAUUUCUAUUUAAUACUGUGUCUGUGUGUGUGUGUGUGUUUUAAAAGAAAAGUUACCUCGAGAAAAGGCCCUUGAAUUGGUAUAUGAGCGAAGUUUGUGCUCUAAGAUUUUUUGACCUCGUAAGUUUUUCAGUUUUCACCGCCGUCACUCAUGGCUUCCCAAUCUCAGGUUCAGAUGAGCAAGCUCCGUGUUUCUGUAAUACCGGAAAGUGACAGUGGCAAUGGAACGACGUCGUCGCCCAAAGGGCAGUGCCUCUGUUCUCCAACGACACAUGAAGGCUCCUUCCGGUGCCGUUUUCAUCGCUCAGCCACAGCUUCAUCAUCUCCACCUUCUUGGAUGAAACGCUCCAACAACAAUUAGCCACCCUGUCGUCGUUUAUGCCUCUCUCUCCAUUGGUUCGUGUCUAUGUUACUCAUUUUGUUUAUCCAUAAUUAACUACGUACUUUCAGAAUUUGCAAUGUGCUAAAUUCUAUAUGAGUGAUCAUAUAAAUAAUUAAUUAAUGUUGUGUAGCUCCAAAUUGCCACGAAUCACUAUUUAACUUGUUCUGAUCAAUCGUCUGUGUAUUUUGCACAUGUCUUUCUCAUCUUUCCAAAUCAUCUAUUUCUUUUGUCUCCUCGCACUCGAUCAAAUGCCAACAUAUAACUAAUCUGAAAAAAAGGAUUUUCUCUUUUUUUGGUAUGAAUUUAAGAGGUUUUUCAAAUUCUCUUAAAUUACAGACAUAUAACGUACUCCUUAGAAUUCUUCUUAAUAUCGCCCAGAUAUUUAGAUCUGUGAUUUACCUACCCGGCCCCAGUUUUGGUUAAAAAGCGGAUCCAAGCUAGGUUUCAAAUUUUACUUAAUUUGUAGCAUGAUCCAUAAUUCUAUUCACGCAUUUUCGUCCUCCUUGUUUUGUCUGAGGUAGUAGAUUAUUCCUCUGGUCAGUUUCAUCUUCCUUCUUUAAUUUUUCUGAUUUAUAAGGAUAAACAAGAGAGAUAUAAAAAAUAACAAUAAAUGUGAUAAAUCAUAUGUUGGGAAAUAAAGAGAAAGAUAAAAAGGAAAACAAGAUAAAACUGAGAUAAAAUAGAACAUCAAUCCAUGUGUGAUGAUACAUGCAUGAACUAAUUGACACUAUUUAUUUAUCUAUAUUUUUUUGUUAUUUUGUACUCCCGUCAUUUAUUACAUUUACAAUUUUCUGUCUUUUAUUUUUUAUUUCUUUUAAUGUCUUUAGAAACACACAUGUGUCCUUGCAUCAUUUUCUUUAUGAAUUAUGAGUUAUCUCCAUUGAUCUGAACCAUUUCAAGUAAAUUUAUUUAUGGGAAUGAACUUUAUUUAGAUAACAAAUGUUUUGAGCGAAAUAAAAAAAAAGAAGAAAAGAUAAAAUAAAAACAGUUGUGAAAUUUUAGUCCUUCCGUUGGAUGGAUAUAUUAAAUAGAAUUGUGUUCAUUUAUUAAAUAGAUAAACUACAAUUAUCAUACAUAAGAGAUUUAAUUGGCGUAAUUAAAAUCUGAAAAACUAAAAGUGUACAAUAUUAAUGAUAUCUAGGAAACUCAAUUAGAAUAAAUAAAACAUAGUGGUAAAUUGGAUAAUUUUAAUAUCUAAGGGAUUAAAAGUUCAAUUAAAUCUAACAUAAAAAAGUUUACAUUUUUUAAAUUAAAUUAAUUUUAAUUAAUAUAUAAAAAAAUUACCCAUUUCUUUUCUAAACAAGUAAAAAAUUAUCUCUUUUAUUUAUUUCUAUCUAUUUAAAGAACAUCUAUUUUAUUUUUCUUUUAAAUACAGAAAUUAAAAGGAAAAGCUUUUGUGACUAUAUAGAAAAAAUAAGUCGUUAAAUCAAGAGAUAAUUUUGAUAGAAACUUGCCAAUACGUAAACAAGUAAUAUAACGAGAGGGAAGAGGAUUGAGCAAAAAUAUUUUUGGAAAAUUUAGUCUCUGGUUUUCAAUCGGUCAUAACCGAUAACUCCAACUCCAAUCAAGUUACAAAAUACCCUCUCUAGAUAAUUGAUUAAUUGUUUGAGGAAAUUUGACAAUAGCCAAUGAGUAAUAUGUUACUCUACAGAAAUCGAAACUUUUAUUAGAGCUCAAAACCGAACCGGAAAAAAGUAAAAUAGCCACUGAAUUUAGUGACCAACAAAGUCAGUCGCUAACCUAUAAAAACAGAGACCGAUUAUAGACUGACACAAUAAUUUAGUAUUUUGUAAAUAAGUAAAUUUAGUUAAGUCUGCAAGUGAAUCUGCAACGGACCAUUUUAUUAGCGACUGAAAUAUUCGGUAUCAAUUUAGCAAUUGAACUCUAUUUUGGUCUCUAACGGUUAGCAGAUUGGUCUUUUGCAAUUAUUUAUUUUGGUCGCUGAUUUGAUAGCUAAGUAAGUUAGCAACUGAUGUUUACAAUAUCAGUAGUUAAUGAGCAUUUUCAUGGUAGGGGCUAUCAAAACAAAGUUGCCUAACCCAGCUCGGCAGGCCAAAUUGGCCCACUUUUUUUUUCACCCCAUCAAUUCAAUUUAAAUUUUAGAAUAAAAGAAACAAAAAUAUAGCACCACGCUUGGUACUUUUUGACAACUCUAGUCUUCUUCAUCCUUUAGAAAUAUUUCGUGUUAAUUUUUAUAUAAAACCCAUUUUCCAAACUUAAUCAUGCCAAAGUCAUCAUCAAUUUAAGACAUAUAAUCAAAAUUACCUAAGACUAAGACAAAACAAAUAGGGGAAACUACUCCAUUCAAAAUUGGACAUCCAGUGAUUGGCACACAUUUAAUUACCAUUUCUAUUAGAACCCUAUUUUGAAAAUUAUCCCAAACCUAUAAGGCUUUAAACAAUACCCAAAUUCUUAAUGUAAAAUGUGGUUAUGAAAAUGGGUAAUAUGUACUUAAGAGAGAGAGGAGAACUAAACAAAACAAUUUUUGUAAUUUUUAAAAUUGUCUCUUUUUCAAUGUUUGAUCAAAAUGAUGAGUUUUUGUUUAGUUUAUAGCCUAUAAUGCCUAAGAAUGCAACUUAUCUAUCUGAAAUUCUAACUGUAACGAAAGCUUCUAAUGCAAAUGGUGACAACUUCUAAUUUUUUCACAACCAAUCUUUGAUGCAACAAGGAAUGCAAUUCAGAAUCCAAUAUAAUCACAAAUAUCACAAUAGAAAUUCAAUAUAUCAAAAUGAACCAAUAAGUUGCAAAAUCAUUUGCACUAUACCAAAACAAUCAUAUUGAUAUCAAGAACAAUUCCAAUCAACCAAAAAUCUGAUGAAAUUGCAACCAAAAAAUAAAAUAAAAAAGUUCCAAUAGAAUACCCAAUUCAAUACCAAGUGCUUUUUUAUAUUCUUAAGUUUUUGUCACUCCUUCUCACUUUGCUUAUUUACACUCUUUGGCGUGUGACUUUGGCGCAAUUCUGGCAGGAGAACAAUAAAAUUGGGAAAGAAUUACAAUGAGAUUGAGCAUGUAAACUCGCUAGCAGCAAAUAUUGGAACAAACAAGUUGAGGUGGAAAUUGUUGUGGAUGAAGCUCAAGAAAGAGAAGAAGAAGAAGAAGAAGCUUUUUGAGUCUGCAUCACCCUUUCAGGUUCCUUAUGAUCAAUACACUUACUCUCAGAAUUUCGAUCAAGGGACUGCACUUGAUGAACCAGAUGAUCUUUCUCUGUUCGGUUUGCUGAUCCUUCCAUGGUACUUGUGAAAACAAAAGGUAGUUUAAGGCAAGGCUAAGGAAAUUAAAUUGAAACGCUGCUAUCUCUUUACAAUGCUAAAUGCUCAUAGUUAUGUCUGUAUAUAUAUAUAUAUAUUUUGCGUGGGAGGGGGUUCUAAUGGUUUUCUUCAUUGUAAUCCCAUUAUUGUGUUUAUGCGUUUUUGUGUGUGUUUUUAAUAUUUUUGAGAGCAGAGGUCCUUGGGUUUGUGCGAAAUUGCAACAUCAAUGACGCCGUUGUUACAGACUUGCGAAGGUGAGGGAGUGAAAUAGGCGCGUCAAUGAUGGUGUUCGGGUUGUUUCCAAGCGCUGCGAUGUUGUUUGUGACUUGUGAGUCCAAGACAAUAAAUUUAUGUUAAUAAUUUCACUAAUCAACAUUUUUAAGAAGAAAAAAAUGAAAAUUAAUGAAUAAAUCAAAAUCCUUAAUUUUUAAAAAUAAAAAAAUCAAAUAUCUUAAUUAACUUUAGAGAUUAAACCGUGGAUUAUAAGACUAAGAAAUCAAAAUUAUAAUUAAAUAUAUAUUUUUUUAACAAUAUUUUAUUAUUUAUUGAACAAAUAUGUAAAAUUUUUAUUAUUUUAUUUUUACUUUUUGGUAGAGAAAAAUAGAAAAAGAAAAAGCUCACCCAUUCUUUCCAGUCUUCCACACUUGCAGUAGUAUGACAAACCCAACGUGAAUCCGGAACUUGAAGCUACUCAAUUUUUUCCUCCUCUUAACGGUUAAUUAAAUUAGGGUUUUCGAUUUCGGUUUCAGAAGAGACUUAGCACUCUCCAAUGGCGACGAGGGUCCACCAAUUCUUCGACGAACUCGAAGCGAAGAAAACCAUUCUCGCCAAAUGCACCGACCUCUUCACCACCCUCUCCACCCACUUCUCCUCCCUCCAACACUCCGUCGCCGAGAAAUCCCAAUCCCUCGAUUCAAAGCUCCAAUCUCUCGAUUCCCUCUCCAAAGAAACCCUCGAAUCCCUCCACCGCCGCGAGACCUCCAUCCCGGAGCGCGAGUCCUCCGCCGCCGCCCGCAUCAAGGAGCAGAGGGAGGCCGCGCUCGCAGAGCUCCUCCGCGCCACGCCUCCCCCGGACCCCGACCUCUCCGCCACGCUCAAAUCCCUGUGGAGGAAGAUGGACGCAGCGGCGCUGCUGCGGUUCGUGGUGUCGAAGCGGAAGGAGUCGGCAUCACUGCGGGCGGAGAUAGCGGCGGCGAUGGAGGAAGCGGUGGACCCGGCGCGGCUGGUGGUAGAGGCAGUGGAGGAGUUUCUGAAGAGCAAGGUGGCGAAGUCCGGGGUGACGGAUAAGAGGUGGGCGUGCGGGCUUGUGAUACAGGCGCUGAUGGUUUCGUCAGAGUCAAGGGAACAUUCUAGAAAGAUCGUGGAGAGAGCCGUUGCGGUUGUGGAAACGUGGAAGGAGCAUUUGGAUGGGGAAUCAGAGAGUGGUGCUGCCGAAGUCGUCAUGUUUCUGCAGAUGGUCGUGUGUUUCGGAUUGAGGUCUAGGUUUGAUGAUGACUAUUUGAGGAACUUCGUUAUGCAAUUUGCUUCUAGAAGGGACAUGGCAAAGCUUGCUGCUUCCUUACAAUUCGGCGACAAGAUCAUAGGUUCGUCUUUUCUUUGCCUAUUUACGUUGAAAUGUAGGUAUACAGAUGACUUAUGAUGUAAUAGGAAGAGAGAUACAGACAAGUAAUUAGUGUUGAUGGAGUGUUUCAUGUCUGAAUAUUAUCACUCAAUAUUUUAUAGACGAAAAUGCAAGGAAGCUGGAAUUUUAUGGUAGUGAUGGGUUGGGAAAAUGGAAAGUCUUAUAGUAAAUCAGUAGGAAAGGGUGACUGCCAAAAGAUUUUGUGAUGGUGGUAGUGGAGGUGGAAAAUGGUGGGAAUGGGCUAAGAAAAAUUAGUAAUUGAGUCAUUUAGGGUUUGAGUAGAGAGUUUACAGGUUUUCUGCUUACAUUUCUGAGCUUAGGGAGUCUUGUUGGGAGCUCAAAUAUACCUGGGUUUUCUGCACAUAAUCAUAGUUUAAACUUGGAAGUGAUUCCUGUGUAUUAGCUUAUUUUCAUAUCCCUAAGUAUGUUGGUAUGGUAUUUUUUUUUUAAAAAUAUUCUUCAGUUUUUUAAGAGGAAGGGAAUUCUGAUACAUUACCAAGAGUUAGUAUGGAGAGCAUAAUUUAGAACAGGGCUAUGGGGUUUUGGGUCAUCAAAAUUUUAAAAUACAGUGGAGCUGAUUGAAAUUUAAAUAUUUUUCUUCAAGGAGUUUGCUUGUUUCUUUUCCUUUCGAAAUAGAUUUUAUUGACUUAUAAGCAUUUCUUUGUGCCACCCUGCUGAUUUUCUCUUUCAAUGUUGCAUCUGCUCAUUGGUAAAUGUUAACAUGCCAGAGCCUCCUACUUGCUAUGUUAGCUAUUACCUUUCUGCAACCUUUCAUCAAAAUAUCUUGAUUUCCUAUACUUCCAAAAAUCCUCCUCAAUUUUCCCAUUACACCUACCCUUGUAGACAUGUAGGUGUAGCUGUCUAACGAGUUAAUUUUUCUCUGUAAUAAAGUCACCAUAAGACAUAGCCUAAAUGGCUAAAUCAAAUGUUAAGAGAAAUGCUGACCAAAAAAAAAUGUUAAGAGAAAUUCAGUUGUGUUAUCCUAUACAGAUUUUACCUUGUUUUUGAUUUAUUUGACACUCAUUGUCAUACUUUUACACUUCUCAUUGUGAUUCUUCUUUUUUGGCCAAUGCAUACUUAUUUGCAUAGACUAAUUAAAGCAAAUGAUUUAUGCAGAUAUUAUAGAUGAACUAAUUAAAAAUGGCAAAGAGAUAGAAGCUGUUUAUUUUUCUUCAGAAUCUGGUUUGACUGAAAGAUUUCCUCCAAUCGACCUACUCAAGUCCUACCAUCGGAACUACAAAAAGAAUGUUAGUGCCAUAUUCAAAAAGGGAAACAACAAUCAUGCUACUAUGGUCUGCAUAAAUACCUUUCUAUUCUAAUUCAGUUUCAUUAGUGUGUUUAUGUUAAAUAAAAAAGAAUGUAUGCCAUUGAUGGAUUGCAUUGUUAAAUCUGUCUCUAUCAUUUUUUAGGAUGAUUCAAGCACUUCGGAGUUGAAUUCCAUUAAGGCUAUAAUCAAAUGUGUAGAAGAUCACAAGCUUGAAUCAGAAUUUAACCUUGAUAAUUUGAGGAAGCGAGCUACCCUUCUGGAGAAAGCUAAGGCCGAAAAGAAAAAGGGUUCAACAUCCAGAAGUAAACCUCAGAACAAGCGAGGCAGUGGAUCCAGCUCUUCACGUCCAGCCAAAUCAGCCAAAUUUAACAGUGCACACUCAUCAUCUUUCAGUCGCAGGAACCUGGCACCUUCUCUACAACCCAGUCCUGGUGCAAGAUUUUCUGCUCCAUUCAACUACCCCAGCCAAACCAUAUACAAUGGUGCAACUGCUAAUCCUUAUGCAGCAACCUAUGGAACUUCCCACACUCAAAGCCCGGCUGGAAUAACACAACAGCACUACUCUAUUCCUGUUGACAAUUUGGGUCCGUCUGGUUACCGGUCUAGUGGUUCUUAUUCAGGACAGACUAGCUAUGGCCUAUACGACUACAGAAAUGGUGCUCCUCCAACUUAUCCACCUCCAUACUCAGUAGAUGAAACCACCUACAGGGGAUAAGUUUUCGUCCUACGUAUCCUUUUUCUUCCCGUUGUUUACUUUAGAUGCUACUUUCAUUUAGUUUACUUCCUGUUUUGUGAUGCUAAAAUUGGAAAAUAUAAUAGGUUCCUGGGAAUAGUACUUAUUCAAAUACAUAGAUAUAUGAUGCCAACCGCAGACAAGGCAAAGUUCGUUCUUUUUUUUUUUUUGAAGUUUUGACUUUUUCUUUUUGAAUGUAAUUAAUUUCCCCUUUUCUUCGCUAGAGCUAUUAGUCAGAGGUUUGUUUCACCUUUUCCUUUUAUUUGUUAUAGGCUAUUUUCUACAUUUUCAUGCCGUUUCAAUGUAUUUCCAAAUUAGCGUCUAAAAGAACUGCUAAAAAUGCUAUUCUAGUUAUAACUUAUACUUUUAAUUUUUAAUCGCAAUAAAAUGCAAUCAACAUAUCUAUUACAUCAUGAGUCUAUGUUAACUAACGUUCAAUCCCUGAAAAUGAGGAAAAGGCUUUGUUGGGAUAAAUGAAUUUCAGUUUAGGAAUCUACAGCUUAAAAGAGAUUAGUCUCGGGAAUAUUUUUCGUGCAUAACAAAACAUUUGUUACAACACAUUGAGACAUAAAUUUUCAUAAACAUGUUAAAUACUCCUUUAGAUACAAGGAGAAAGCAAAGGGUAAUACAAAAAUGUAUUUAAAUAGACUAACUUCUGUUAAAGUCAUUGUCAAAGAAUCACCGAGAACAGACAAUGACCUUGCAGAGGGUAAUUGUUUAUUGUACUCUCACUAUUGCAUCCCAUAUUACAUUCCGAAAAAUUCAUUUGAGAAUGUAAAUUUACAUUUUAGAAUGGAUUUUUUGAAUUUUUAUGAGAGGUGCAUGAGUAAGAAUGUAGGAAAUAAAUUUUCUUAUAGAGGCAUGGUCCAAGUCCAAGGCCCACCAGCGUAUUGUGCGUCUUGGGCUUUUUAGUUAACAGACAUUGAAGUAUUCUUGUUAAUAUCAAUCUCCUAAUAAAUCUUUAGUAUUUUAUAUAAGAACCAUUGAAAACAAUUUUAUAUCUUAAUCAUGAGAAAUAUUAUCAUUUUAAAAUGAUUUGCUAAUUUUAUUAUACUCUUAAUUUAUUGUAAAAUUUAUUAAUAGUUGUUUACUUAUUUUUUAUAAAAGUAAAUAUAUUUAUUAGACUAUUAAUAAUAUAAGUUAUACUUAUUAGUAGAAAAAAUAUUUCAUGAAUUACAAAUAAUAUCAUUAAAUAUAACCAUUACUUACGCCAAUAAAUAUAACCUAACGAAAUCGGCUUGGAGUCAGACGACCACGUAACAUAUCAGGAAAGCAACGCAUUUUAUUAUACUCAUCCCGAUUCAUUAUAAUUGAUUAAUUAUAGUAUGAGAAAAAAUUAUCUUAAUAUAAUUAUUAUUUUAAUUUUUUAAUAUGAUAUUAAUUAAUUUUUCAUUUUAAUGUAACAUUAAUUAUUUGUUUCCGCUUAUACAUCAAUUGUUGUAUAAGAAGAAAUGUAAUAUUAAUUUUUUUAGGUUAAUUUUAUAAAAUUAUUAUUUUUAUUUCUUUUAUUUAAUUAUUUUUUUCUUGAUAUGUAUAAAAAAAUUUAAAACGAUAAUUAUUUUGGGAUGGAAAGAUUAUGUUAUGAUUUAGCACACUCCAGAAUUUUUGCAGCAGCGUUUAGUUUAAUGUUCAAUUAUUGAUAUAUAUCUUGAGAAAAUAUAAUCUAACAAGAUUAGUUGGAUAACAGCUCACAUGUGUCGGUUAUUUAAAACAAGUAAACAAUUAUAUAUACAUCAAAUGUGUUUGACAUUCUAACAUACAAAACAAUACUUUUAAGAUAUGGAUGAUAAUGAUAAUAAUAAUGAUGAUAAUAAUGAUAAUGGUGAUGUUAGUAAUCAUGAUGACGAUGUGUAGUGAUGAUAAUGACAGAUAAUAUUUAUGAUGAUGACGAUAAUAGUGAAAAUGAUUGUGAUGAUGAUAACGGUGAGAAUGAUUGUGAUAAUAAUAAUAAUAAUAAAAAAAAAAGUGUUAUGGUCAAAUUUUGAAAAAUGAUUUUUUAAAAAAAAUUAAAAAUCAAAUUCAUGAAAAAAAAUCUUGAUUUUAAAAACAAGUAUAAAAUGAAUAAAAAAAUUAAAAUUUAUUUCAACUCCAUUUUUAUCAAAUACAUUUUAUUUUAAAAUUAUAUUUGAAAUGAAAAUUAAGAAGUCUUGCAACUGCCUCAAACGGAUCCUAAGUAAAUGAUUUUUUGGUAGCAGGUGAAUGAAUCACAAACCCGGUUCGUUUGACUAGUUAUCAUUGUAGGAUUAUUAUACUCAUCCUCAAAAUUCUCUCUCUUGGGGAUACAUAAUUAAUUUGCUGGAAAGAGAAAGAUAUUUAUUUUAUAAGACUUCAAUAGAUCGGGUUAACAUGCUGCUGGUUAUAAUGUCUUUGUCAUGUCGUGCAACUGCUUGAAGUUUCAUCUUUUAUUUUUUCACUCAGUUGAAAAUAUACUGUAUUAUAACGUUUUCCCUCUAAGAAGAAAAUGAAGCACUGACUUAGUCAUCCAAAUCCCAAUUUUAAUUGCAAAGCCGCCUUGGAAAAUCUCGUCAUGACGUUUCUGAACAAAGACACAAUUGUUUGCUUAUACAAUUUUUUACUUUAAGAAAAAGAUUAUUCGCUUUGUGAUACUCCUUUCCUUGGCCUAUAAAGCUAACAUCACAAAAUAUCAUAUUCAUACUUAUAUACCAUACAGUAGGACGACGGUUCCGUUCCGUGAGAGCAACUCCACAAGCAUAUCUACAAAUAUAUAUUUAAAUGAGAAAAAAAUUAUUUACUCCAAAAGUAACUUUUCUUUAUCAUUUAUUUUCUCAAAAUCUAAUAAUUGUAAUAUAUAACAAAUUUUAACCAUUAGAUUUCAAAAAAAAUAAAUGAUAAAAUAAAAAAUAAAUCUAAAAAAAUUACUCUUGAAACAAGCGGAUUCCUCCUCUUUAAAUAUAUAUUAGAUAAAUUAUACAAGCCGAAGAGACACCUAACACACUCAAACCGAACACAUCCUUCAGUCAUGUAUCCACAUAUACCGAACAAUACGUUUCGUCCUUCAAUGCAUGAGCAACAAGCAUCAUUCAGCUGCAAUUAUCACCACUAAAUUUGCUUAAGGAUAAUCACUCAAUUAGGGACACCUAAGCAUGAUUAAAAGGAGUAUUGCUCAACUAGUAAUUAUUGUGUGAUAGACACAUAGACCCAAGGCCCAACAAGGUUAGUAUAAAAAGGGGUGAAUCCUCGAGUAAGGUGAGUGAUUCAUUCUCACCUACUCAUUAUAUAUAUCAUUAAUAACUCUAAGUCGAACCCUCACUUGAGCAUUGCAGCAUUUUGCAGGUAUUCUUCCCUCUGCUCUGUCAGAUGCUCAUGCACCUGAAUCUUCGACAAGGAACAACUAGCAGAUGACCCUUCAACUCUAGAGAUCCUUCAACAUAGUAGAAGGCCCUUUGGCAAAAGGACGAGUACUCGAUCCAUUUGUGACAAUAACAAUUUGGCGCCCACCACGAAGCCAGGUAACAUAUAUCUCGACCCUGAGAAUUUAUGACUAUAAUAAGAACUAAAACGAACAUAACAACAAUGGAGCAACCGACUAAUCACCACAACGAAGAUGUUCGAUAGAAGACCAGACUGACCUGUUUUCCAUAGUCAGGAGACUACAAGCUUAGGUCUCCGACAUGCAAAAACACCAUGCUGAGGAAAUUGUUGCCCUUUCGAACAAGAACACCAUCUUCAAGAAGCACAUAGGUCCCGACAACCUGAGGCUAACCCGUCAAAAGAAGGGGAGGUUGAAUCAACCGCCAUAGGCUUACUUAGAGCCAUUAAUAUGAAUGUGUGUUCGAAUGCUAUUUCCUCGACUUGCAACACCCUUGGAAGACAACUGUCAUAGUUCAAGAAUUCGUUCAUCCCUUCGGCAAUAAAAGCGCAUAACUGUCACGAGAGGUAACCAUUUCAACAUGUCAUAAAGACCUUCAUUUCGGCCGAGGCCAAAAAAGGGCUUAGGGGGCUAGUAUACCGGAUAAAGUACACGAUCAGGCCGGAGGGAUACCUAGCACACCCUUCAACCAUGUAUUCAUAUAUGUCGAACAAUACAUCUUAGUCUUUAGCAUACAUGAGCAACAAGCAUGAUUCGACCCUGUUUAUCACCAUUAAAUCUGCUUAAGGAUAAUCACUCAAUUAGGGAUACCUAAGCAUGAUUAGAAGGAAUAUUGUUCAACUGGUAAUUAUGAUGUGACAUGCCCUCAGACCCACCCCAGGCCCAACAAGGUUAGUAUAAAAAGGGGUGAACCCCCAGCUAAGGGGAUUGAUUCAUUCUCAUCUACUCAUAUAUAUCAUUAAUAGUUAUAAGUUGAACCCUCAUUUGAGUGUCAAAGUGUUUUUUUAGGUACCCUCCCCUUCGCUCUUCUAGAUACUCAUACAUUCAAAUUCUUGACAAGGAACAAUAGACAGAUGAUCUUUCGACUCUAAGACCCUUUAACGCAAUAAAAAAUCCUUCUGUAGAAAAAUGAGUACCCAAUUCAUUUUGUAAGAGGAACAAAAUAUAUGUUGAUAUAUAAUUAUAUACAAAGUACUAAGUUAAAGAUAAAGUUCACAUCAAAAGUAAAGGUCAAAGUAUAAACGUAUAGUGAAACCCUUUGUCAAUUAUCAUCUAGGAGUGUUUUUUUUGCAUAAUCAAUUUCAGCCUGUCAUCAUCAUUGACUUAAACCAGAAAAAAAUAGAAUCGUUGAAAGAUGUGUGUAUAAAGGAUAAAUUAAAAAUCUUAAGAAAUAAAUAUUAAAACACAAUAGUAUGAGAAACUUUUUUCAGCCUUUGGAUACAUCUAUUACUCAAUGAAUCACCUUCUUUUCCUAGUCUUGACCAUAAGGGAUUGCUUUUUACAAACAAAGGACCCCACGUGGUGAGUGGUAAGACUAAGAUUAGUGUUGGGCAAUGAGGUCUUUAUGCAUUUUUCCAUUGUCGUUUUGUGAGCAAAGUCAAUUUCAUUUCAUAAAUCUCAUCAUUGGUUACGAUCCUCGCCAUUGUUUUAAGACUAUCAUCAUCGCCGGCCACUUCAGAGGAUCAAUUAUCAUUUUUCAAUUUCAAAAAAAAUUAUAACCUAUAACCCUUGUAGUAGUGAUAGCGAAGACUAAGAGCAUUGAGCGUAAGAUCCAAAAAUUUAAACCUUAUAUUCUAUGCAGAUUUCCACCAUUCCAUUCAAGUUGGCAGCAUCGAUGACAUUGAUGUUUCUUCCCAUGAAACUAUGUUCCUCUAUUGGCCUGUUUUUCCUUCUUUUUUUUAAAGAAAAAAAAAUCAAAUUUGUUCCAUUUAAUGUUAAAAAUUGGAUUUUGCAUAUGACUCAUUUGGUGAUUCUCCUUCCAGUGGCUAUGCUUUUGUUGAAUAUGAAACUGAAAGGGAGUGUGACGAGUAUUAUGGGGAUGCAACAUGUUAAAGCUUUGUUGAAGUUUAACUUAUAAAAGAAGAGCAACACCUUGUUAGCUUCAAGUAUGCACGACAAGAAGAAUAAGAAAGUUGUUGUUAAGAAAGAGAAAGGAACUCUUUUUAGUCCAUGUUUCUUAUCUUCUUUUCGAUAUCCGUGUUGAUGGAGUAUAACUAAAAUUUUGUAAAGUGAUUUCCUACUGUUGAGACUAGGAUAAGAAGGUGAUGCAUUGAGUAACAGAUAAAUCCAAAAGUUGUGAAAAGUUUCCCACAUUAUAGGACCUAUGCCCCUUUCCCAUGCUAGAAGGCAUCUUAGUUCAAUAUAGACAUGGCAAUGGGGCCGGGCGGGGAUGAAUAUUGUCUCCCCAAUUUCCGAUCCCAACUCCCCCAACAUGUCCCAUACUUGUACCCGAUACUCGACGGUUUAAAAUUUAUUAUCUCAUUCCCGUACCCGUUGGGUAUCGAGUAUCCCUGACCCCGUCUCUUACCCGAUUCAUAUUAGAAAAAUAGUUUUUUUUACAAAGAAAAUAUUUGAAAUUUGAUUUUAGAAAAAAUAAAUUGAUUGUUAAAUAUUUAUUUUUAACUACUUAUAUAUCAAUAAAUUUAUUAUAGCACAUGUGUCUACAAAAAUUGUUAAGAAAAAAAUAUUAAAUCAUGUAAAAAAUUUAAAAUAAAAUUAGCUAGUAAUAAAAAUUCUAGGUCUUUUGAUUAAAUUAUGCAAAAAUUCUAAAAAAUUUAAGUGACGGGGCAGGUCCGGGUUCGAGGUCGGGGUGAAUGUAGUAAUCUCAUACUUGUACUCGUACCCGACUUUUGGUUAUCAGAAAAAAUCUGAACCCAAAUCCAUACCCGGUCAACUCGGGUAUUACCCAUCAAAGUCAGAACGGAUUCAGACAGAUACCCACGAGUACGGAUUUUCUUGUCAUGUCUAGUUCAAUAUUAAAUUAAAAACUUGCAAAAAUACAUAAAUAUGAUCGAUGCUUAUAAAAAUAAUUUUAAAUUAUCAUUUAAUUUAAUAAUGAAUUGUCACUAAACUUUUUUUUUAUAAAAAAAACUAUAUGAAAACAUACCUAACCUAAGAAUUCCUAAAUAAUUAAUAAUAUAAAAUUUAUAUAAACUCUUUGUUUUAAUAAUUAAAAAGGCCACGUGAUCAACACGUUUCCCAGGGCUACCAUACUACUUCCUCCUACAAACUUGCUGAGUUGACCCUGCCAAAGGGGACAUAUCAAAUAAAAAAAAACUUGGUAAUUACAAGAAACGAAAAAACUUAUUAAUGACCACGAUUAAAUUAAGAGCAAGGGAUCAAAUUAGUGUAAGUAAUUAAAGGUUUCGCACAGUUUCAGCCUCAUUCACCCUCCUAACCUGGUCCUAACUUGUUGGCGGUGUUGCCCCAUAAAUGAUAAAUAUAAUUAGGUUAGGUAGUGUACGAUUAUAGUUUUUAAAAACAGAUUUUAGGAUAAUAAAAAACCCAAACCUUUACGAUAACAAAACUGAAAUAAAACAUGCUUUAAGUAUAUUUAUCAUUAUUUUAAUAAAAAAAAUCUUCUCAUUUUAUUUCCUCUUCUUUUUUUCUUUUUCAUUUUUUUUGUCAUGUCUCUCUUUUUUCUACUUUUGUAGUUUGUACAGUAGAUAAUUCGCUUUAAGUUUACUCUUUGCCUUUCCAAAAUAGGUCUGUCCCUGGUAGUUCUAACUUCUAAUUCAGAGGAGCAGAUUUCAUAAUUGUCAUUCUCCCAAAUUUAAACAUUAUAUCCAAAAGAUUCUCUGUAUAUUAUACCUAUGAUGAUUUAAGUAAUAAAUUUACUUAUAAAUUAUAAAACUUACUUUAUAAGUAUUAUAGACAUGGGAUUUUACAUAAUUGCCAUCUAAUGUCGAUUAAUACGUGAGCUCCUUGUUUGUUUUAUCCUUUGAUGAUAUUUUAUCGCAUAUAUAACAGUGGUGCUAGCUUAGUCUGUUUGUAUUACAAUUAGUCUCAGUCCCCAACGACUGGUUCUGUUUUCUCUCUGCUGCUUCGAUUCAUUCACACAACCAUGACUAGCCUUACUAAUGGCGAUGCUGGCUCCCUCAACAAGGUCCCCACGAUCAAGUUCACCAAGCUCUUCAUUAAUGGAGACUUCGUUGACUCUCUGUCAGGUUCAUUUUUCAUACCUCUGCACUUUCUGUUGGUCUAUCUUUUCUGCUUCUUCUAGCUUUCUAUGCUCCUUUAAUUUCUAUUCCUUCUUCUGUAUUUUUUUCCCCAUUGAUGUACCUGGAUCAAAUGAAAUACACAUGUUAUUGUGGGUGUGACAUAAUUGAGGUCUAACUUAUUUUUAAAAAAUGACAUAUAACUUUAAUCUUAAGCAUAUGAUUAGAAGUUUGAUUUUAAGGUUGUUCUGUAUGAAAAAAUUUAUCAUAAAAGGUCAACUCUUUAAAUUGAUCUCAAGAAUUAGUCUUUCACUUCUUGUACUUGAUUAAGCAUUCAAUUCUUAUGUUCGUGUACAUGAAAAAAUAUUUAUAUGAGACAUCAAGUUAGAUGAACAAGUAUCUCGAUAGAUUAAUAUUUGACUCUUAGUAGAAGGAUAGCCUUGAUUCAAAUGAAAAGAAAUGAAAUACACUUACAAGAGACAAUAUAUUACCUCUAUUUCAGGUCACAUGUAAAGUCCUGAAUUAUGAUUUAACUCUAAAUAACGCGUAUGUUUGGAUUUUUGUCUGAACAAAAGUUUGUUUCUUGUAAGUUUGUGUUCAAACUAUAAUUUAGAGGUUAAUUAUCUAUACUUGUUAUAAAUGGUUGUGUCAACAGUACUACGUAUGGUGUCUCAACUCUCAACUGAGUCUUAUAUAUAUAUAUAUAACGAAUUUGUGUGUGUGUAUAUAUAUAUAUAUAUAUAUAUACAUACAUACUAAUAUGACUUUGCUAAAACUCUUGUUGUUGUUGAAAAAACAGGAAAGACAUUUGAGACAAUAGAUCCAAGAACAGGAGAUGUUAUAGCGAGGAUAAGCGAGGGAGAUAAAGAAGACAUUGACAUUGCUGUUAAAGCAGCACGUCAUGCAUUUGACAACGGUCCAUGGCCUCGCCUUCCCGGCUCUGUACGUUAUUUUUUCCCUUCUCUUAUUUAAUUUAUAUGUACCAGGUGAUUCAUAUAUGAUAAUCAUAAAUAUAAACAAUAGAUCUGUAUUCCCCCUAAUAAAAAAAUAAAAAUAAACCAUAGAUCAUGUGUAUAAAUAUAAUUAAGAUUACGGCGGAGUGCAGUAACUUCCCUUGGCUGAAUGAUUUUCCAAAGAUAUGGGGAAUGGAUUGACUUUUUCGAUCUUUUUAUAUUUAACUUUAAUGAAUUAUUAACGUAAAAAAAUUAACAUUUGUAUUUUAAAUAGUAUAUUUUCACAAUAUUUCACAAAACUGAUAUGUUUUUUAAUUGGUAAUAUGAUUAAAAUUAUUAAAUACCAUGUUCGUGUUGAUAUAUAUAAUUAUAUGUAUUGUAAAAGAAUUGACAUUAAAGAUACAUAGAAAAUUACGUAAAUCUUUUAAUAAAUAUUAUUAUUACUCAAGCAUGCAAAACCCAUGUGAUCCAGAUUGUUAUAUGAAUAAUUAAUAUCAACGUUCUUAUGUGAUUUCUGAUUAUUUAAUGCUAAACCCAUGUGAUCCAGAUUUGUAAUGCCGAUUCUAUAAAUUUCAAUUUUAUUUAAAACACGACUAUGCAUAAGUUACAAGUCACUCACAGUGAGUUGGAUUUAUGCAUUUAAAUAUGACUUACAUUUUUUACAUUUAAUUUUAAUAGUGUAAAAAAAUUAACACUUAUUUUAUCGUAUAUUGCCGUAUUAUUUCAUAAUCUUGAUACAAUUUAUAUUUGAAAUAUAUAUAAAUUUGUCAAAUAAUAUGUCGAUGUCAGCUUAUAUGAUACUGUGAGAAGAAUCACAUGAAAAAUAUAUUGAAAUUUAAAUACAUUUAUUAGAAUAAAUAUUAUUACCCCUAUGAUGCAAGCGUGACUAGCUAUGUCGGUUAGGUUUAAAUGUUACCAAAUGUAAACUUAAAAAACACACAUAACGAGACAUGAAUUUUUCUUAACAAAUUUUUUACGUUCAAACGGCCGUUUGAUGAUUUUAAAUAUUUGAAACACACAAUUACAAACUGUUAAUAAUUGGUUGACCCAAUGACCCCUCCCCUAAAAAUGGAAGAAGAAGAAGUAGAAGAUGUUAUAACGAAUUUAUAUAGAAAUUGUUGUAUAAAUAUCAUUUAGCAAUGGAGUCAUAUUAUGGCUUGAGGUAACUAGUGAUGGGUAUAUACUUAAGAUAAAUAUAGUUGGGUAUAAUCAACAGCUGUGAAAUAUUGAUAAAUUAAGAAUUUUGAGUUUUGUUUAAUAUGAUCAUGCUUAUAUUUUCGGGACUUUAUCGAUGUUUUGACUUAGUUAUUCCAAUAAAUAUUUUUUAAUCAGCCACUGGUAAUCUUGUAUGAUCAAGGUUUGUUUGUAAUAAUCAGGAGAGAGCAAGAAUAUUGCUGAAAUGGGCAGAAAUAAUUGAGGAAAACGCAGAAGAACUUGCAGCACUAGAUGCGAUUGAUGCGGGGAAGUUGUACCAUAUGUGUAGGAAUGUGGAAGUUCCAGCAGCGGCAAACACUCUUCGUUACUAUGCUGGUGCAGCCGAUAAGAUUCAUGGAGAGGUGUUGAAAAUGUCUCGAGAGUUCCAUGCCUAUACAUUACUUGAACCACUUGGUGUUGUGGGACACAUUACUCCCUGGAAUUUCCCCAAUACCAUGUUCUACAUCAAAGUCGCUCCUUCUUUAGCUGCUGGCUGCACCAUGGUCCUCAAGCCUGCUGAGCAAACACCCCUCUCUGCUUUGUUUUCUGCUCAUCUUGCUAAAUUGGUAUCUGUUUCCUCUACACAAGUUAUUACUUGUGCACAAAAGCUUAUUAUUUAUUGAGUUUUCCUUAUUUUGAAGGCUGGAAUCCCAGAUGGAGUGAUCAAUGUAGUGCCUGGAUUUGGCCCAACUGCUGGUGCUGCAUUAAGCUCACACAUGGAUGUUGAUAAGGUAAUUAAAUUUACAUGUCAAACAUUUACAAGUGCCAUGAUCUUAAAUAAGACUGGUUAAACGUUAUAUUAAUCUAUAUAUUUCAUUAUAUGUUUCUUAACUUUGGUGGAAUGUUCAGGUCAGCUUUACCGGUUCAACACAAACAGGCCGUGUGAUAAUGCAGGCUGCAGCAAAGAGUAACUUGAAACAAGUUUCACUUGAAUUAGGAGGCAAGUCACCCCUCAUAAUUUUUGAUGAUGCAGAUAUAGACAAAGCUACUGAGCUAGCUCUACUAGGCAUCCUAUAUAACAAGGUGAAUUUGCUUUCAGGAAAUCCUUUACUUUCAAAUAGCAUAUCCUGUUAAUUAUGUCUCUGCUAACAUUUAAUUUCUUCCUAUGUGACUAUAGGGAGAAGUUUGUGUUGCAAGUUCCCGUGUGUUUGUUCAAGAAGGGAUCUAUGAUGAAUUUGAGAAAAAACUGGUGGAGAAGGCAAAAGCUUGGGUCGUUGGGGAUCCCUUUGAUCCUAAAGUUCAACAAGGCCCUCAGGUAAGAAAAAUAGGUACUGCCACAAUUAUUUCUACACUAGUUCUCAACUAUAUAUAUAUAUAUAUAUAUAUAUAUGUCGGUUAUUUUCUUGUAACUCCAUAAUUUAAUAUUUCAAAAAUUGCUUAGAAGCUAGCUUUUUCAAACAGAAAUGAAGAAAUAAUUAAGAUCCUCGUCUAUUGGCUAACAAUUUUCUGUAUAUUGUAGGUUGACAAGGAACAAUUUGAAAAAGUUCUUUCAUAUAUUGAGCAUGGAAAGAAAGAAGGAGCUACCCUUUUGACCGGGGGUAAAACAGUGGGGAACAAGGGCUACUUUAUUGAGCCGACAAUUUUCUCCAAUAUAAGAGUAAAUUCCAAGUGCAUAAAGUUAUUAAUUAAUCGGGUAUCUUCAGCAUAAUUAGAUAACUAAUCAUCAUGUUUCCUUUGUAAAAUUUAUUAACUACCCGUUUGUAGGAGGAUAUGCUUAUAGCACAGGAUGAAAUAUUUGGCCCAGUGAUGGCACUGAAGAAGUUUAAGUAAGUUUAUUUUAAUGUUAUUGUGUCAUGUUUCUUGUUAAUUACCAUGGUGAAAUCCUCAUAUUUAUUAUGUUAACUAUUAUGAUAUAUGAACAACAGGACCACUGAGGAAGCAAUUAAGAGUGCUAACAAUACCAAGUAUGGCCUAGCAGCAGGCAUAGUGACCAAGAAUUUGGAUACAGCAAACACAGUGUCAAGGUCCAUUCGGGCAGGCACUAUAUGGAUCAACUGCUAUUUUGCCUUUGGCGAUGAUGUUCCCUUUGGAGGAUAUAAGAUGAGUGGAUUUGGAAAAGAUCAUGGAUUGGAAGCCCUUCACAAGUACCUACAAGUUAAAUCUGUUGUUACUCCCCUUUACAAUUCUCCCUGGCUUUGAAUGUCUACUGCAUGGAUCUUGGAAAAUGGUCCAUUCUGGCCAUUUCCUAUCAAUUUGCAUCUGCCAUGAGGCAUGGAAAUUCAGUUCUUGAACAGUGGUGUCUAUUAUAUUGUCAACAAGCUGGCCUUUUCCUACUUUUCAGUCAUGCUUUAAUAGAAAAUGUAUGGAAGAAAAACAGUAAUUUUAUUUUUGUUUGGUUUGUAAUUAAAAGGAAAUAUCAACACAAUUUAACUUAUUGCUUCAACAGAAUAUAUAAAUUGCUAUAAAUCUAUAUCUAUUUUUUAUUCAUAUUAAUAAUAAUAAUAAAAGAAAUAAAAUCAUCCAUGAGUUUUAUCUCAGCAAUUUCUACUCAAGCGAGUAGAAUCCAAAAAUUGGGAUUCAUGUACUUUUUAAAUGGAAAAGACUUUAUAAAUUUAACAAAUGUUAGAUUAUAAGUUUUAUAAUUUUAAAUUUUUCACAAGUAUUUAUAUUUCAACAAGAGUUUGUAGUCGUGACUAAUAACAAAUUAUUUAUAAAUAUAUAAAGGUAUAGAAGUUUCAUUGAGCUUUUUUAGCUACAACACCUAUUUAAAACUAAGAGAGAGAAUAAUAGAAGAUUAUAAAUGAUUUUGUAUUAUAAAUGUUAAUAAAAAUUAAUCCAUAAACAUAUAAAUUAUAGUUUUUCAUGAUAUUGUUUUAACUUUGCACCAUAUUCUUUAUUUUACUAAUUUACUAAAUAAUUUAACAUGUUUCAAUUUUAGAAGGACAAAAAAUAAAUAUAAAAAUAAAAAUUCAUAGGGAUGAAAACCAAUUUUUUUAAUUUUAUAAAAACAAAAAAAUAUGUUUUAGUCUUUUAAACAAAUUAACUUUAUAUUAUUUUCUCAUUCCUUUCUUUGUUAACUCAAAUAUAAUUUUUACUAAGAAAGAUUCAUCGAACCGGUAAGGAUCAGAGUGCAUCCCACAAGAAUCCGAGUUUAAGUCUCAUUGAUGUAAAUAUAGGGACCUUACUUAUGGAUAAUUUAUUAAUAUCUUUUAAGUGCUUAAUAGAUCUUAAAAAUAUUAUCUCAAAAUUCAAUUCACCUAAAUUUUUCUAAAAAAAAUCAAAUAUAACUUUAAAGUGAGUUGGCAUAAUCACCAUUCCUCCAUUGCAUAAUACCAUCGUAUCCUAAGAAGACAUCCAUUGCAUAAUACCAUCAUUCCGGAUUGUUGUAAAAUUGAAACAUGUUUAACUUUAAGAGUGCUAAAUAAUUUAACAUGUUUCAAUUUAUAGUUUAUCAUUUUUGCCGUAACGAAGAACUAGUUAUAUUGCAAGCAGCCUUAAAUUAUCAUUCGCGACAUCCCAUGGUAUGUUGCGCUUUUGUUUUUUUAUUCGGUGGAAAAAUUUCAAAAGAAGAAACUAUCCUGCACUGUCUCUAAACAGGAGUAGUGUGUGUUCAUCGAAGGAGGGGGAGGCCGAAUCCCAAAUACAAUAUUAAUUCUUUGCACCUUUCCAGAAGCACUAUAUUAAUUCUUUAAAUAAAUAAAAGGCAAAAUCACUAUUUUAAUUGUUUUUAAAAAAUAAAAAUUAAAUGGGGUUAGGUGGGGAAUGAUUUAAAUAUUCUUAAUGGAACUCUUAUUAAACAAUAAUGAUAGUAUUAUAUUCUAUUACCAGCAGGUAGCAGGUGUAUCAUUGGCGUUCCUUGCCUUUGCGAGAGCGCUGAUUUCUCCACCUAAAGUCCUAAAGUUGCGCCAAUUCAUGUUCUUAUCUUUGCAUUGCAUAUAUAUAUAUGUUCUUCGUAAUUAAUCAUAUUGCAACAUCCCGCGUACCGCCAGCGUCUCUACGACAAUCUCCUUUCUCUCUAACUCAUAACUCAGAUGAGUUCCCUCUCUAAUAACUCUAGUAGUAGCCACGGCAAUUCCUUCCUCCAGAUGCCCCCCAUCAAGUUUACCAAGCUCUUCAUCAAUGGAGAUUUCGUUGAUUCCUUAUCUGGUACUUGAAUAUUAAGACAAAUUUAAAUGUAAUAUUACAAGUAUUGUUAAUGCUAUUUUUAAUUUAAAUUAGCCUUUUUUAAUUAUUACUGUCAAUUUUCAAUUAUAAAAAAAUUGUCAAUUUUGACAAAUAAAAAAAAAAAAACAAGAAUGACAGUAACUAUGAAACGUUGAUGCGGGUUUGCAGUAAUUAAGGAUCUGAAACUAACUUUUAUCUUCUCUUUAGUGUGAAUUUGAAUCCUCUUUAUGAUCACUUUUUUGUUUGAUAGAUAAUUCUCCUUGAAGAGAUCUUCUCACUUCUAAGGGAUAAUUUGAGUAGUUAUAAUUAAGUAAAAUUACUUGUGAUUUAGGUUUAGGUAGCAAUAAUCAUCUAGGAGUUUAAAAAUAUAGUGUAUUGUUAAUUAUUUAGAUUUGAAAUAUUUUUAAAAAUUAUAAUUUAUUUUGAUUUCAUCUAAAUACAAAAUAGGCGGAUAUAUUUCUAACAAAAUUGUUUGUGAUUAUUUAUAUUGAAAUAAAAAAGGAAGGACAUUUGAGACUAUAGACCCCAGAACAGAAGAGGUAAUUGCAAGAGUUAGUGAGGGAGAUAAAGAAGAUAUUGAUAUUGCUGUUAAAGCAGCACGUCAGGCAUUUGACUCAGGUCCAUGGCCUCGCUUGCCCGCCUCUGUACGUUAUUCUUUUUCCUUUCUUUAAUUAAAUAUUUUUUUAUUCUUCCUUUCUCCAACUAAAUCAUCCCCAGUUUCUUACAUUAUAAACUUCAACAUGUAUUUUUUAAUUUAACUAAAUAAUGAAAAUUGUGAUAAUAUAUGUUUACUCAAAACUUUCGAAAGGCCAUACUUUUAUACAUACCAUUAUCAAUGACCUAUUCGGCAAUUCGAUCUAAUCGAGGCCAAGCAGUCCAAUGUUGAACAAGAUACUUAUGAACUCAUGUUUGACUUAGACGGAGUGUAUAUUGAGGAACAACAAACCAAACAUCAUUUGGUAGUCUAAGACUAUUAACUGUUUGCCGGCUAGACAUAUAUUUAAUUUUUUGUAUUUUACCAUAAAAGCUAAUAACACUUAAUUAUAUGCAUAUAAUCAUGCAUAAUAACUGAGUAGAUACAAUGUGAUAUAAGACUACCUAAUAAUUUCUCAAAAUAAACAUAUGUUUUGAGUAUGCUUUGGUGGGAAAAACUUCUAGUUAGCUCCUAAUUAGAAGAAGCAUGUUGAGUAUCUUAAUUGAAAUUUAUAUUUUAAUUGUGCGAUCAUAAGUCUGACUUUUUUUUACAGCAAACAUACGACUGACAUUAAGCGGGCAAUUAAGUGGAAAAAUUCAAUUGUAAAGUAAAUAUUGGAAUGACAAAUGUGAAUGGAAAAAUUUAAUAUUAUUUAAGAAUGAAAAAAUUAAACAACUUAUAAAUAAAUAAAUAAAGGCUAAAAUAAACUCACGUGUGUGGUUUAUGUUUAUUGAUGAAGAUUUCUAUGAUAUUUUAUUCUUUUAUAUUUAGUAAUAGAAUAAAUUUAUUGUACUUUUGUGAUUAUUUAUAAUUUAAUUGUUUAUUUUCUUGUUUGAAUUUUUCCUUCUAUCACUUCUAAUCCUCUUUAAAAAUCUUAAUUAAUAUUGACAUCGUAUGCUAUACCAGGAAAGGGCAAAAAUUAUGAUGAAAUGGGCAGACCUAAUUGAUGAAAACAUAGAAGAACUAGCAGCAUUAGAUACCGUUGAUGCUGGCAAGCUGAACUAUAUUAAUAAGGUUGUGGAAAUUCCUUCAGCUACAAAUGCGUUACGAUACUAUGCAGGUGCGGCUGAUAAAAUUCAUGGUGAAGUAUUAAAAAUGAAUGGGGAUUUUCAUGCAUAUACACUUUUGGAACCAAUUGGUGUUGUGGGACACAUAAUUCCAUGGAAUGCCCCCAGCCUCUCGUUUUUCAUCAAGGUUAGCCCUUCCUUAGCUGCAGGCUGCACCAUGGUCCUCAAACCUGCUGAACAAACACCCCUCUCUGCCUUGUUUUAUGCUCAUCUAGCUAAGUUGGUAUGUAUCAACACAUAGUUUCAUUUCCUUAUCAAACAUAUUUAGGCUAAUUGUGUUGGGUUUGUCCCUUUUAAAGGCUGGAAUCCCAGAUGGUGUGCUUAAUAUAGUACCUGGAUUUGGCCCAACCGCUGGUGCAGCAAUAAGCUCACACAUGGACAUAGAUGUGGUAAUAAGAAGUUACAUGUCAAAUAUUUACAAGUACUUACUAUUCUCUUAAUUGACUUGACUAAUAAAAUUUCAAUUUCCUUGAUUGUGUUGUGUAUCUUCAGGUCAGUUUUACUGGUUCAAUUGAAGUAGGGCGUGAAGUGAUGCAGGCUGCAGCUAGGAGCAAUUUAAAACCAGUUUCACUUGAAUUAGGAGGCAAGUCUCCUCUCAUUAUUUUCAAUGACGCGGAUAUAGACAAAGCUGCCCAGCUUGCUCUCUUUGGCAUCAUGUCUAACAAGGUGAAAUUCCUUCCUUUCAAGGGACAUCUUGUAAUAUAUAUAUAUAUAUAUAUAUAUAUAUAUAUAUAUAUAGUAUAACAAUAUAACAAGCAUGCCAAACCAACUGAAUAUUCUUCUUAUUCUUAUUGGAAAAAUGUGAACUACAUAUGUAAAUUAUUAAAUCUUAUUAAUCAAAAUUAAAAGAAAAAUAUAAAUAAUUUAAUGUGCACAGUAAAAUAAUUUUAUACUUCAAUCAUAAAUCAUUAUUUAAAUUAUUUUAAGAUAAUUAUCUUAAAACUUAACACAUUUAUAUAUAUGAUGAGUUAUAAUUGAAUAAUUGUGUAAAAGAAUUUAUAUUAUCAAUGUGUAAUCUUUUUUCUUAAAUAAUAUUAAAUGAGUUUUCAAGUGGUUUCCGGAUAUUAACUAACUUUUUAUUUUCAUCAUCAAUAUGUGGUUGAAUGAGCCAUGUUUAUAGUUGUAGCCAAUAAAUUAUGUACUUCCUGUUUGUGCUUUCAGGGAGAAAUUUGUGUGGCAAGUUCUCGUGUGUUUGUCCAGGAAGAGAUCUAUGAUGAAUUUGAGAAGAAGUUGGUGGAGAAGGCAAAAUCUUGGGUCGUUGGGGAUCCUUUUGAUCCCAAAUCCCUGCAAGGGCCUCAGGUAGGGACAAUAUAUAUGAUAGCAUGAUUUUGUUUACACUCAUUCUAAAAUAUAUUUGGUCCGUCCUUUUCUUUUUUUACUAGUAACUCGCUAAAUAGGAAAAUGAAUUUUAGUAAUUAGUACAAAUUUAUUUGGUCAAAUAUUAUGAAAUGACAUUGUGUUAUUUUUUUUUAUAGAUUUCCCAUAUAUAUUUUUAGGGGUGUUUGUUUUAUGUCAUCUUCUUUUAUUUCUAAGAAUGUGAGAAGAGAAUAGAAAUGAAUAUUCUCAUAUUUAUUAGAAGAUUUAUUAGAAGGUUAUGAUAAUAUAUUUUAUUUUUAGGAAAAUUAUGUUCUCACGUUGUAAGUAGAUUGUAUUCCCAUGAGUAGGUGGUGGGUAUCUAUAUUUUCAUUCGAACUAACUUUUAACUUUUUCUUUCACUUUUAGGUUUUUAAAAAUUUUAAUUAUCUAAAAUUUAGCUGUUUUUUAAAAUUACUCAAUAUUAACCAAACAUAUUCAUGAUCGAGUAUAAUAUAACAUUCCUAGAUAUAUUCUUGAAAAUAUGAUUCCUGAAAAUAUAAAAUUAUACGGCGAAGCAAACGUUCCUUGAUCAUCAUCCAGUGUAUUUUGUCUCGUUUGGUCAUGGUUGCAAAUUCUUGAACUCUAUUUUUGUACCAUAUUCUUCGUCUGAGAUAACACAAUACUCCAAGUAUAUAGUUCAAACAUUUGAAUAAAUAUACGUUUACUUUCUCUUUUAUCCCAUCUUCACUAUAUUUUUUGGUGAAAUUUAUCAUAACUUGUUUUCUAUUAUAGGCUGACAGGAACCAAUUGGAGAAAAUACUCUCCUAUAUUGAACACGGAAAGAGAGAAGGAGCUACCCUUUUGACCGGAGGUAAUACAGUGGGCAACAAAGGUUACUACAUAGAACCUACAAUUUUCUGUAAUGUAAAGGUAAAUUUUAAUUUCAUCAAAGUCUCAACCUCGGUAUCUUCAGCAUAGUUUGAUAACCUCUAAAAAAAAGCAUAGUUUGGUAACUAACCAUCGUGCUUUUAUUUUGCUUAUGAAAACAAAAAACCUGUUUAGGAGGACAUGCUUAUAGCACGAGAUGAAAUAUUUGGCCCUGUACUAGCGCUGAUGAAGUUUAAGUAAGUUAUAGUUUAAUUUAAUGAUUUUUUUUAUUGAUGUUUAGUACCCAUAAAAAAAGUGUAUGCGGGUUUGUUCAUGAACGUUGAAAUUAAGUAUGAUAUAUGGUAUGAACAGGACCAUGGAGGAAGCAAUUAAAAGUGCUAACAAUACCAAGUAUGGCCUAGCAGCAGGAAUUGUGACCAAGAAUUUGGAUACUGCAAACACUAUGUCAAGGUCCAUUCGUGCAGGCAUUGUUUGGAUCAACUGCUAUUUAACCGUAGGGAGUGACGUUCCUUUUGGAGGGUAUAAGAUGAGUGGAUUUGGAAGAGAUUUGGGAUUGCAGGCCCUUCAUAAGUACUUACAAGUUAAAUCUGUUGUAACACCUAUUCACAAUUCUCCUUGGCUUUGAAUAAUUGAAUGUCUCCUACAUGAGCACAUAUGCGUGUCUUCUCUCAUUUGAAAUAAAUUACACUUUAUUUCCUUAUGAUGUAUGACUUAAAAAUACUUAGUCUCUUGUAUUAUGAGUUCUUUGUUUUAUUACAACGUUGUUAACUUAGUAUAGUUUUUAGAGAGAAACAACAAAUUAUAACUAUUACAUUUUUUCUUCCCAUUGACGUGAAAAUGUUCCAAGAUCCAAGGUUGUAACUUAGAUGCAAUCACACCAUCAAUCUUUUAAAGGAGAUAGUGCCAAUUUACUCUAAUUUAAAACCGAUCACAAAAUUAUCUUUGUAUAUGAAUCAUAAAAAUAGCAUUUACAAAUCGUAUUUUUACAUAUAUGGGCUUACUAGGCUAGCGCGUUGUUUGUGGGCUGAAAUCAGGACCGGGUGGACUACAUACCAGUACACAAAUUUUUUUUAAAAAAAUCACCAGUACACAAGCGGCCCAUGUUUAUUAUGGAUAAAAAAAUACACCAUAAAGUUUUUCAAAAAAAUAAAACUCUAGAGUGUAGCCUAAAAUAAAUGUAGCUUAACAAAUGUUUUGAGGAAUGUUUGGAAGUAAAAUUAGGAAAAAUAUGAGAAAAAUAAUAUUUUAUUUCUUAUAAUUUCCAAAAUAAAAGAAAUAGAUUAUAGAUUAACAUAAUUUUAGUGUCUUAAUAUUUUUUAGAUAAACAUUAUAUAAUCCUAUUAAUUUAAAAUAUUAAAAUGUCUUAUUUUUGUUUUCUAAAAUUUCACUCUUAAACACAUACUUAGUUGUUGUUUUUUUAGAUUAAGUAAAUGUUUGGAUUUCAGUUGAAAGAGCUCAAAAGUAUUCUUAAUAUCAAAAUAGCAAUCUUCUUCAUUUUGAGUAUUGAAAUUUGGAAUUGUGCAUUGAAAUUCAGAAGAAGAAAAUACUUUUCUAAAUUUUAUCCAAGUAUAGCCUAGAUUAGUUAGUACGUUUCUAAAUUAUUUGAUUAAUUAUAAACAAGUCUUCAUAUUUUUUAAAAAUUGUAAUUGGGUCUUUAAUUAAUAAGAAUUAUUUGUAAUUGGGUCCCUAUAGGUUCCGUCGCUAAAACAUGUAGUCCGAGCAGUUGUCAUUAUUAAAGGAAGUCUCAAUUAUAUCCAAUCAUUUGGUUAACUUUUAAUGAGCAUUAUUUCGGCAAUCAAAAAGGUGGUCGUGGACUAGAGGAGCAGAAAAUUAACCAAAAAAGUUCUCUGCCAAACACAGAUUAAUUUUUUAAAAAGAAUUAACAAGCAUCAUUUGUAUUUUCUAGAUGUAUCUUACCUAACCUUUUCUAUCAAGUAUGCGAACUGAGCUGGUGUUAAAAGGCUGGUAUUUCCUCUGUUGUGGGUUUACGCGUUUUGCAGAGAAUCCACUUUCUCAUGGUUUAUUUAGAAGUUAGAACAACACAAAAGUUUAUGAUUCUAACGUGCCAACAAGUUUAUGUCUUGGGAAAAAAAUAGUGAACCAAUUCUUUUUCAUUCUAUAAAUCUCUCUGUUGCUUUCUUUAUAAGACUUUUUGCAAUAAAUUGAUUAAUUUUUUAGUGGAGGAGUACCGGCGGAGUAAUGAAGUCCAUGUAGUGGUUCUCAUGUUCAACAUAAUGACCAUAGAAUAGUUGAGUUUGGUUGCCUACUUUAUGAUUCAUUGCGCUAAAUUUGAUAGUGCCCUAUAACUAUUUGAAAGCUUUAAGUUGUAAUGGGUUGUAUAUUCCUCAAAUGUAGGUACAUUUAAGCAAGUUCAUCUCAAACAAACCAAAAUCUCUAGAGUUAAGUAAAAUUGAUUUUCAUUGAAUAAUUUAAAAUUGUUGAAGGUGAAUAAAUCUAAGUUUUUUUUUCUUUUCAUAAUGACAAGAGUGAAGACUGAACCUAAAUUCACAUACUUUUGUUCUAACUCUCAUUACUAAGCUGAUCUUAUUGGGUAUAUUAAAACGGACGCAGCACAUUAUCUAAUCAUUCAAAUUAUUAAGAGGACACGUACAGAUUCAAACAUCUAGUUUCAAGUGCCGGUGAACAAAAUCCCUAGAAAAGUAGGAAUAACAUAGGAUCAAGAUUUUUUUACAAUCAAAAGCUGGUUGCCUAGUUGGCACUUUGUAACACAAAGAAAGGUUACUUAAUUGUUUGAAAAAACAUUUCAGUUAGUUUUUAGUUUUUUUAUUAGUUAAAAUUUUUAUUUAAUUAUUUGAUAAAUAAUUUUUUAUAGUUACUUUUUUAAUAAUUUCUAAUAUUUUUUAAAAUUUAUUUGAAAUAGUAUGUUUAAAAUAUUUUUUAUUUUUAUCUUUGACAUAUUUAUUAAAUUUUUUUAUUUUUUUAAAAAUAAAUCAUGAUUUUAUUAUUUUUUAUUUUACAUUUUUUAAUUAUUUCAUCAACUAAUUUUAUUGAUACUUAUAGUUUAAUAAAUUAGUUUAUAGCUUUUAGCUCUCAAAAUUUCAAACUUCCAACUAAUUUUAUAAAAAAAUAACACCAUUUAAUAGGAAGAAAUAAAUAAAAAGAAAAGAAAAUUAUCAACUAUAACUAAACAUAUGAGUAUUUGGAAAUCGUGUGUAAAAAAAAAAUUACAACUCAUAAUUAUAAGAUGGUCAAGAGUGAUUUCAACUAUUCUCGUUCCUGCCGCUAUUAAGAAUAGGAUGGAUUUAAAAGAGACAAGUAUAAAACAUUAAGAUCUAACUCUAUCUUCCUGCAUUUUUGGAUGCCUAUCCAGGACUAGAUGUGGAACCUUAUUACAUUAGUUUUUGCAUUUUUUUCUCAAUUGACGUGAACUUAGAGUAUAGACUAUAUAGAUUUUGAUGUAGUAGAACCAAACGCACGGUCCUUCACAGUUGGAAAAUCUGCAGAGAACAUGUCCAUCUUUAUUUUGUAAUGGGAAAAAAUUAAAUUAAUUCUGUAUAUAUUAUAGUAUACAGCUAUUCAAAAUACAAUUUAAUAAAAAAACUCAUCAAAAUACAACUAUAAAUUUUAAAUUAUAUUUCUAUUAAAUUUUAAACUAACAAACAAACAAUUAACAUUUAUCCAUCAAUAAGAAAAUAUAUUCACAGUAGAAAAGACAUUUAAGUUUGACAAGCGAUCUAAUAACUUAGUUAAAUUUUGAAAUAAAAUAGUCUAAAAUAUUUUAGUAAACUUGAGAAGUUAAUCUAAUUCAAAUUAUAGUAUUUUAAUCUAGUCUAAAUUGCUUCGAAACCUGCUAGUUUCAAUAUUUGGACUCUGAUUGCUUUCUCUAUACAAUGGUUACAGAUUUACAGUCAUUCAACAAAGCAGACCGCGUUAAUUGUUAAUGUCGUUAUGCAAUUCUUAAUUGGAAUUGGAACGAAGAUGGGUCAGUGCUGGAUGAAGUUUACAAAUUUGAUUUUGAACACUUUUAUAAAAUUGAUUUUGAUUAAAAUAAUGUGAUUUAUAUGUAAAUAUUUUUAUUAUAAAAACAAGUUAUGUUUUAUAAAUAAAAUUUAAUAUAAUUUUUUAAAACCAACAUAAAUUAUUCAAGAUUAUUUUAACUUAAAGUAAUUUAAAAUACAAAAUCAACCUUUCUUCAAGAUAAAACUAAACAAAUAAAAAAAAUUAUUUAAAAUCAAUUUUGUAAAAUAAGAUGGAAGACACACCCAUGAUUUUUGGACUAAAAGUGUAGUGUAUAGGUGGUGCGUGUUGAUGUGCAAGCUAUGCGGACGCGGUGCACCGUAAAUCUCAAGGCUGAUGAGAUGAUCCAGCUGGGAGUAGGAGCAACGUGAGUGACGCGUGGGUCCCAAUGGCGACACUAUCCACCGGUUGUCGUUUUGCCUUCCGCAGGGGACAGGUUUCAUCCGCCAUGUUUAGUGGGUCCCAAUCCCAGAGGAGAACGUCCACAGUAAUUUGAUAUGGACGCGCAACACAUGAACAUGAAAUCAAACUCACGGGACGGAGGCCUCAAUCAGCUCCUGUUAGCUGUGAGCCUUGGUUUUUUAUUUUUAUGAUUUACGUACAAAUUACAAUUUGAGAAAAUUAUUCGAAAACAAAUUAACAAUUCCUAAUCAUCUUAUUUUUAUCAUCUUUUUCUAUUCUAAAUACUCAGUUUGUUGUCUAUCAUAGUCUUGUUAAGUUAAUUUUCUUUUCACUUUUAAUUAUGGUUUUCAAAACUAGAUUGGAUCAUUCAAUUCAAAUGGUCGGAUAAGAUGUUAAUCUGAUAAUUGGUUCAUUAAUAACUUAAAAAAUCCGACACAUCUUAAAACUGUUAAACAAUCAAACAAAUAAAAAGUUAAUUUAAAAAUAUAAUAUCUUUCAAAAUAUAUUUUUUUUAACUUCUUUUAUCAUUUCAAUUUAAUUUAAAAUAAUUAGUAUAUAUAAAUUAAUAAUUAUUUAAGUAUUACACCCAAAUAUAAAUUAUCUUACCAAUUAUUAUUUACUUUAGAGUCAACAGAGUAACAAAUGAAAUGUGUUUUUAUCGUGAAUACAAAAAUUGAGUAGCAUACUAAAAUUCAAUUUUAAUCGAAAAGAGUAUUAUUAGUAACACAAUUUCUAACAUGCUUUGCCAAACAUAAGUGGAUUCAUUGUAGUUGCUUUUCCAAUUGCACUAAAUCUACGCCCUUAACUUUAUAUUUUAUGACAAAAAAAAUACAUAAAAUGAGAUGAAAAAAAUCUUUUAAAUUGCUCAUUCAUGACGGCACCCUGCAAUUGUUUGUCAACUACAAGGAAUCCUAAAUCCUUUCUAACUUACUCCCUCCAUUCUAUAAUAAGUUUUGUCCUAGUCUUUUUUUUUACACAAAUAAAACAAGGCAAUAAAUAUAUGAAAUAAAAUAAUUAUUUUAUCAAAUUAAUCUUAUUAUUAAUAUUAAUUGAAAAGGUAAGAUAACAUUUAUUAGGGAUAUUAAUAAAAAAAAAGUAAUCAAUGUUACAUUGAAAACUAAUGUGACAUUUAUAUUGAAAUUUAUUUUUUUUUCUUUCACCACACUUAUUUUGAGAUGGAAGAAAUAUUUUUUAUUAAUUAAAAUUUAUUAAAAAAAGAAAAAUCACAGUAAAAUUCAUUAAUUAAAAACUGAGACUCACCAAAUUUUAUAAUUUUUAAUUAAUUUCUUCUAAUAAUAAAGAGGGUAAUAAUGAGAAUGUAUUAUGCUUUCUCAUACUAAAUAGAUACAAAUUAAAAUAUAAUGGUAAACAAAUUCAUUAACAUAUUGUAAACAGAGACGGAUGUAGAGGGGAUGGGGUAGGGCCCAAUCCCUUCCUUUGAACUUGUAUAUAUAUAUAUAUUCGUAUAUGUUUAUAUUAUAAUAAUUAUUAAGAUUAAUUAGUAUAAAGUUUUUUAAAGUAGUCAAGAUUACCUACGAUUUGAAAGUGCUUUUAAUGCUCCUUCCGAAACUCAACAAACCCAAUAAAAAUACAGAGAUAUUAAAUGUCCCAAGUUACAAAUAUCAUAUCGCAAAUUAUUACGAAAUGAUCAUCUUAAAAAAAAGUGAGCAACUAAUAAAACGUAUUUUCUCAUUAAUUGAAAAAUAUGAAUACCUUAUUAAAGUUUAAAUAUCAUAAUUAAAGGGUGCAGAUAAAGAUUAAAAGAAAAGGUGCAGAUAAAACAAUCUAAUGAGUUAAAUCUGUGCAGAUAAAAAGAAACGUAUUUUUCUCAUUAUAUAUAUAUAUUUUUUACAUCAAAUAGCGACAGAUUAAAAUACUACUACCGUACCAUGAAUGAAAAUUUUCAAUGUAAUCUUACAAAACCUAAUGAGAACAAAAGUAAAUAAUGGAAAUGGGUUUCAAGUUUUUGACGGGAACGUAGGCAUCGCCAAUGAAAAAGUCCAUCCAAGGGUAAUCAAGUUUUUGACGGGAACGUAGGCAUUGCCAAUGAAAAAGUCCAUCCAAGGGUAAUGACGUGGGACUCGAUAGAGCGUCGAUUGCUCUCUUCCUUCUUCAGUUCAGAGCGUGUGAUACCAACCAACACAUCCAAACAAAAAUUACUGCACCUUCCACAGGCCAAUUAAAUCCACUCUAAUGUCUGCCAAUAUCAACCACCAAACUUCAAUUUUAAAUAAAUUGGAUUGCUCGCCUAAAUUUGCCACCACCGACUCCUUCCUUAUUUGUAAGUUAAUUAUUACGUUUAAAGAAUUACAGUUUCUGUCAAACAAGUGAGGCAUUGCACCUUGUAAGUUAUAACCAAACACCCCCAAAUCCUUGUUAAUACUUAAAAUAGUCAUGAAUAAAGCAACAGACUGAGUGAACAGAACAGAGAGAAACAAAGCAUUACUUAUUAAAAUAUUUGUUAGUAGCAAUUGAAUAUCGCUGGCUGGCAGAGUACGUGUCUACGAAUUUAAAGGCAACCCAGCAGAGUACGAAUCAACUCUACUCCUCUCAUUUGGGUCCGUUUUGAGAUACUACACUACACAUGCACAAAACAGAAGGAGAAAAGAAAAGAAAUGUAUUUUCAUGUUUAAAAAAUAAAAAUGGGAGAGAGAGAGAAUCUGGUGGGCUUUGAGCUGUGAUAUAGCUGUCCCUUUGAUGAAUUAUUUCUGUCUUGCAUCAUACUCUCAUAAAGAGUGGCCUCUCAGGCUCUAAAACUAGAACAACAAACCCUUCUCCUUCUUUCUCAUUAGUGUGAGAUGAUGAUGAUGAUGAAGAAGAAGGACGCAGCAUACUCCUCCAUUCUCACACUACUCCUCAUUGCCACACUACUCUCCCUAACCGUGUCUGCCUCUUCACUCUCCGACGCCGAAGCAAUGUACGUCAAACAACGCCAGCUUCUCUACUACCGAGACGAGUUCGGCGACCGAGGUGAGAAUGUCAUCGUUGACCCUUCUCUUGCUUUCGAAAAUGACCGUCUCAGAAACGCUUAUAUAGCCUUGCAAGCUUGGAAGCAAGCCAUUUUGUCUGAUCCCCGUAACCAGACAGCCGAUUGGGUUGGAUCCGAUGUGUGCAGUUACACCGGAGUUUACUGUGCUCCCGCUCUGGACAUCCCCAAGAUCCGUACCGUUGCCGGCAUUGAUCUCAAUCAUUGCGACAUUGCCGGUUAUUUACCCGAAGAGCUUGGCUUGCUUCUGGAUCUUGCACUCUUCCACGUCAACUCCAAUAGAUUCUGCGGCACCGUGCCGCACAAGUUCGAGAGGUUGAAACUGCUCUACGAACUGGAUCUCAGUAACAACAGAUUCGCAGGGAACUUCCCUGAGGUAGUUCUGCGUCUUCCAUCACUCAAGUUCCUGGAUCUCAGGUUCAACGAAUUCGAAGGAACGGUGCCGAGAGAGUUGUUCGAUAAGGAUCUGGACGCCAUUUUCAUCAACGACAACCGUUUCGUAUUUGAUCUUCCGGACAACUUCGGCAACUCGCCGGUCUCCGUCAUCGUCCUCGCCAACAACAGGUUCCACGGCUGCAUUCCGGCGAGCUUGGGGAACAUGUCCAACUUGAACGAGAUCAUUUUGAUGAACAACGCAUUCCGAUCGUGCUUGCCUUCGGAGAUUGGGCUUUUGAAGAACCUGACGGUGUUCGACGUCAGCUUUAAUCAGCUUCUUGGUCCCAUACCGAACGCAGUUGGAAACGCCGUUAGCUUGGAGCAGCUCAAUGUGGCGCAUAACUUGCUCUCUGGUCAAAUUCCAGCUAGCAUUUGUAUGUUGCCUCACCUUCAGAACUUCACUUAUUCCUUUAACUUCUUCACCGGUGAGCCUCCCGCAUGUCUCGCAUUGCCGGCGUUUGAUGACAGGGUAAACUGCUUACCGGCGAGGCCUCUGCAGAGGCCUCCGGCGCAAUGUAAGUCGUUCUUGUCUAAACCUGUGGACUGUAACUCCUUUAAGUGUAAACAUUUUGUUCCUUCACCUCCAUCACCUUCACCAUUUCCUUCACCUACAGCACCGGUAACACCUUCUCCAUCACCUUCUACGCCUUCACCAUUUCCUUCACCUACAACACCGGUAACACCACCUUCACCCUCACAUUCCCCUCCAUCACCUUCUACGCCUUCACCUACAACACCGGUUACACCUUCUCCCUCACAUUCACCUCCAUCACCUGCUACACCUUCACCAUUUCCUUCACCUACAACACCGGUAACACCUUCACCCUCACAUUCCCCUCCAUCACCUGCUACACCUUCACCAUUUCCUUCACCUACAACACCGGUAACACCUUCACCCUCACAUUCCCCUCCGUCACCUGCUACACCUACAACACCGGUAACACCUUCACCUUCACAUUCCCCUCCGUCACCUGCUACACCUUCACCAUUUCCUUCACCUACAACACCGGUAACACCUUCACCUUCACAUUCCCCUCCGUCACCUGCUACACCUUCACCAUUUCCUUCACCUACAACUCCUGUAACACCUUCACCUCCAUCGCCUUCUACUCCUUCACCCUUUCCUUCACCUACGACACCUGUGACACCUUCACCUGUUCAUAGUCCUCCUUCUCCAGUGUAUUUGCCACCGCCACAUUCUUCCCCUACACCACCUGCUCAUAAUUACGGCUCUCCGCCACCCCAUCACUCACCCGCUCAACCUGUUUAUCCUUAUUUAUCACCGCCACCUCCUCCCUCUGUCCAUUCUUCACCUCCACCACCACCACCACCACCUUGUAUAGAACUUCCUCCACCCCCUCCCCAAUCUACACCUUCUCCCACACCUUACCUGCCACCACCAUCCCCAUCUCCUCCCCCGCCACCGCCACCGGUAUACCAUUCUCCACCGCCGGCAUCACCGCCUCCGUGCGAAACUCCACCUUCAGUUUCUCCGCCUCCACCACCUGCCCCAGUAUACGAAGGGCCAUUACCACCUAUCGUUGGACUCCCAUACGCGUCGCCUCCAC